GGGGUGUGCUCAGCAGGUGGCCUGAAGAAUGGCUCCUUUGUUUAUAACACACUCAGUAGGAAUCUAGGGUCAUUGUGAAGAGGGGUACAACACUUUUGACUUCCCUUUGAGCAAGUGUCCUACAUGU